rnacentral:lncRNA from 1 species
CCCAAAUUGAAAUAACAAAAUCGCCCCCAAAUCCCAUGGAAGAACACUUUCCAUCAUAAAAACAUUUCUAAAUCAAUGGAAGAAUGCAAAAUCGCCCUCAAAUCCCAUGAACCCUAAGAAUUGCGCCCCAAAAUAUAUUUCUUCUAUACAACAACUUCUUCUAUGGUGAAAGUUCACAGACGCAUUGGAUGACCCUAAUUUUAAAUUGUUGGCUGCAUCAUAUCCGUAUUUUCCUUAAAGGGUUUGAAUUAAGUGGGUUAGAUACUUUGUUUAAUAACAUCAACUGAAUGCUUGUGAUGCAAAGACUGGAAAUUUGAAUAUCAUCAUUGCAAGGUUUGUUUUCUAUUUCUCUUAAUCAAUACAAUUUUUUAUUUUUUUAUUUUUCUUUAACAUGUGGAUUAGAUUAUAGUCCCAUCUGUGUUGAGUUUGUAAAAAUCUUGGUACUUUGCUUUAUGUAGAACAAUUUGUUUAUUGAGUAGAGUAAUAUAAUAAAAUGAAGGUCUGAUUUGCCUUGUCAAAUCCAUCACAAAAGAAUAAAACUAAACAAAUUCCAAGUUUGAAAUACUAAAUUCCAGCAGGG